CUUCGGGGACAUUGGUGACAGGUGGUGCAUGGUUGUCGUCAGCUCGUGUCGUGAGAUGUUGGGUUAAGUCCCGCAACGAGCGCAACCCUUGUCUUUAGUUGCCAUCAUUAAGUUGGGCACUCUAGAGAGACUGCCAGGGAUAACCUGGAGGAAGGUGGGGAUGACGUCAAAUCAUCAUGCCCCUUAUGCUUAGGGCUACACACGUGCUACAAUGGGUAGUACAGAGGGUUGCCAAGCCGUAAGGUGGAGCUAAUCCCUUAAAGCUACUCUCAGUUCGGAUUGUAGGCUGAAACUCGCCUACAUGAAGCUGGAGUUACUAGUAAUCGCAGAUCAGAAUGCUGCGGUGAAUGCGUUCCCGGGUCUUGUACACACCGCCCGUCACACCACGGGAGUUGGAGACGCCCGAAGCCGAUUAUCUAACCUUUUGGAAGAAGUCGUCGAAGG
rnacentral:rRNA from 1 species